rnacentral:lncRNA from 1 species
AUGUUCCUGAAAAAAGAAAUUGCACAGAAGAAUCAGAAAUGCAUCUGCAUUCAAGCUCGUGUCUCUGGACCCAUCAGAAGAUCCUUAUCUCCUCAGACUGUUUCUGGCACUAGGAUUUAUCUGUCUUUAUCAGGUAAGGGGGGCUGGGUGAUACUGUAGUAUCUUCCUGCUGAAGUGGAGUCUUGAAGCUGUUUUGGUCUGCACACAAGGAGAUCUGGGUCUUUCUGCAUGGUUUUAAUUUACAUGUUGUUUUGUUUGACAGGUCAGAAGACAAGGGCAGACAGCAAAUAUUUUCCUUUUAGUGGCUUACUGUAUUUCAGAGUAUCAAUAGGGUAAUUCAUUAGUCUUCCAACUUUUCUUUGAACAGCUUAGAAUCUCCUCUAUCAUUCCUCUUCUCUGAGCAAUUGUUCUGAAAUUAUAUUGACUCAUAAACCAAGAGUGAUCCAGAGGUCAAACUUCUGUACUUAUACUCUGUUUGCCCAACUGUAAGUGGAU